AUGAUUGUAUACUACACCAAACAU
rnacentral:piRNA from 1 species